UUAGAGUUUCAUCUUGGCUCAGGAUGAACGCUAGCGGCAGGCUUAACACAUGCAAGUCGAGGGGCAGCAUGUCCAGCAAUGGAUGAUGGCGACCGGCGGAAGGGUGCGUAACGCGUGAGCAACAUGCCCUAUACAGGGAGAUACACCAGGGAAACUUGGUCUAAUAUCCCAUAGCAUUCAUUGAAGGCAUCUUUAAUGAAUUAAAGCUUCGGUGGUAUAGGAUUGGCUCGCGUGACAUUAGCCAGAUGGUGAGGUAACGGCUCACCAUAGCAAUGAUGUCUAGGGGUUUUGAGAGGAAGGCCCCCCACACUGGGACUGAGACACGGCCCAGACUCCUACGGGAGGCAGCAGUGAGGAAUAUUGGACAAUGGAUGGAAAUCUGAUCCAGCCAUGCCGCGUGCAGGAAGACGGCCUUAUGGGUUGUAAACUGCUUUUAUACGGGAGCAAUAAGGGUUUACGAGUAAUCCGAUGAGAGUACUGGUAUGAAUAAGGAUCGGCUAACUCCGUGCCAGCAGCCGCGGUAAUACGGAGGAUCCGAGCGUUAUCCGGAAUUAUUGGGUUUAAAGGGUGCGUAGGCGGCCAUUUAAGUCAGCGGUGAAAUUUUGCAGCUUAACUGUAACAGUGCCGUUGAUACUGUUUGGCUAGGAUUUGGUUGUAGUGUGCGGAAUGUGUGGUGUAGCGGUGAAAUGCUUAGAUAUCACACAGAACACCGAUUGCGAAGGCAGCACACUAAGUCAUUAUUGACGCUGAGGCACGAAAGUGUGGGGAUCAAACAGGAUUAGAUACCCUGGUAGUCCACACUGU
rnacentral:rRNA from 1 species